AUGGGAACGCGAAGAACCUUACCUAGACUUGACAUCUCCUGAAUUACUCUGUAAUAGAGGAAGCCCUUCGGGGCAGGAAGACAGGUGGUGCAUGGUUGUCGUCAGCUCGUGUCGUGAGAUGUUGGGUUAAGUCCCGCAACGAGCGCAACCCUUAUUGUUAGUUGCUACCAUUAAGUUGAGCACUCUAGUGAGACUGCCCGGGUUAACCGGGAGGAAGGCGGGGAUGACGUCAAAUCAUCAUGCCCCUUAUGUCUAGGGCAACACACGUGCUACAAUGGUGAGUACAGAUAGAUGCGAUACCGCAAGGUGGAGCCAAACUCUAAAAACUCAUCCCAGUUCGGAUUGUAGGCUGCAACUCGCCUACAUGAAGUUGGAGUUGCUAGUAAUCGCGAAUCAGAAUGUCGCGGUGAAUACGUCCCCGGGUCUUGUACACACCG
rnacentral:rRNA from 1 species